rnacentral:misc_RNA from 1 species
CAUGCUAUCCUCAUAUUUGCAUUCCCUAAAAACCUUUCAUUGGCAACCAAGUCAUUAUCCCUUUAGCCCCAUUACAACCCUUUUAAAGACCUUUUGAUCUUUUGAAAAGUGUAUGCUACAUUAGUGGAGAUAGAAAAUUGAGAUAUGCCUAUGGAGUUGGAAUUAAAUCAAACUUAGCACAAUCAUCCUCAAUAUAGGCAACUUGGGGAAGUAAGUAUUUCUUAGGUCUAUUCUGAUAAAACAGGUUAUUUGUGACUUAUUAAUGGCCUUGUAUAGAGGAAUAAUUAGUUAAAACACCAUGAAGGGGGUAAGGUUCUAGCAGGCAACUGUUGAGGUCCCUAUGCCUUGAAAGUGGAAAUUGGUAUGAAGGUUGAAGAGUGUCUAAUUAUGUGUAAGUUAAGUUUUUUUUUGUUAUGUUUCUAAGUACCCCAAUGAGUUUUUAUAAAGUUUUAUUUUUCUUGAGGACAAGCAAAGGUUUGAAUUUGAGGGUAUUUGAUUGUAUCAAAUUAUAUAGACAUUUAAGG